rnacentral:misc_RNA from 1 species
GAUGAAGAACGUAGCGAAAUGCGAUAAGUAAUGUGAAUUGCAGAAUUCAGUGAAUCAUCGAAUCUUUGAACGCACAUUGCGCCCCCUGGUAUUCCGGGGGGCGUGCCUGUCCGAGCGUCAUUACAACCCUCAAGCUCAGCUUGGUGUUGGGCCCCGCCGCCCCGGCGGGCCCUAAAGUCAGUGGCGGUGCCGUCCGGCUCCGAGCGUAGUAAUUCUUCUCGCUCUGGAGGUCCGGUCGUGUGCUCGCCAGCAACCCCCAAUUUUUUUCAGGUUGACCUCGGAUCAGGUAGGGAUACCCGCUGAACUUAAGCAUAUCAAUAAGCGGAGGA